rnacentral:rRNA from 1 species
GAUGAACGCUGACAGAAUGCUUAACACAUGCAAGUCGAGGGGCAGCAUGGUCUUAGCUUGCUAAGGCCGAUGGCGACCGGCGCACGGGUGAGUAACACGUAUCCAACCUGUCGUCUACUCUUGGACAGCCUUCUGAAAGGAAGAUUAAUACAAGAUGGCAUCAUGAGUCCGCAUGUUCACAUGAUUAAAGGUAUUCCGGUAGACGAUGGGGAUGCGUUCCAUUAGAUAGUAGGCGGGGUAACGGCCCACCUAGUCUUCGAUGGAUAGGGGUUCUGAGAGGAAGGUCCCCCACAUUGGAGCUGAGACACGGUCCAA